rnacentral:pre_miRNA from 1 species
GUGUGUAGUACUUCACUUCAGGAAGUGCCAUUCAUGUAGCUAUAAAUAUGAUUGGCACUUCUUAGAGUGAGGUAAUGCAUGA